UCAUCCGUCGCUGAUGUUUGUAGCUACUGUCAAUCGGAAGUCGAAUAAAAACGCACGCCAACUAUGUUAAAUCCAAGAGAACAUGUACUGCUUGCUUCUGCAAGCAAAAGGCUUUAACUGAUGCUAGUUUUGCAUACAAAUAUCAGGUUCCCUUAGACUUUAUAUACAAAGCUAUGUUCGUUUUGCCUGCCUACGCAGCGUUGUAUAUACAUAUGCCAAAGGUAAUCAACAACAACAACGAACGCUGCCAACAGGUAACAUUCAGAGUAGCAACCUGUCCGGCCGGCCGGCCGGCCGGCUCUGCAGGCCGUCCAUUCAGCCCGGUUGACGUUGAAGGUUUUGUUUGGAUGAAGACAACCUUGACUUUGACAUCUUCAGUUUGCAUUCAGUGUGACGUAACAAUUGUGGAGUUCAGUUGUAAAGUUGAAAAGCACACACGUCAGUAGUAUGACAAGCGUGCAUAUUUGUGGGAGUACUGGAAUCAAAAGGAAGAUAGUGUCACUUAAAAAUAAAAACUAAUUAGGUGUCGCUUUUCAUGACAAGAAUUUCUUUUGUGUGGGUUAUUACUUUCACUCCACAGAGAGCGCCGUUAGGUAGCACAUCAAGCAGGGAUUGGAUACAAGACCUCUAGCAUGAUAGUCCAACAAACUAACCAUAACGCUACGGAAACUUUAGACUGAGAAUCGACCCACACUGAUAACUUCCCGUUCGUGAGCGUCAGCCGCCAUCGGAAUCAUGCUUGUGUUUUAACCUUUUUCAAUAUUUUGAAGAAACUUUCAGCUAAUGUUUAGAGAACCCCGCAGUGGUGGUCCAGAUAAGUUUGUAAGAGACUUAUGUAUUUAAUUAAAAAUGUCUAGUAUUAGUGGUAACAUAAUUGAUAAAUUGAUUUUAUAUUAGCAGAAGUUUAAAGAUUGAAGAUUUAUUAGUUUUUAUGUGAUAUGCAUUUAUUUCAUUUAUUGCCCUGAAAGCUUGUUUCGUAUCAAUUUGUUUGACUGCACUAAAAAUAAACAUCAAGUAUAUUAUAAUUUCUUAUCGUUGGUAAAUAAAGUUGAUUCUAUUUUUUAAAUUGCUAUUCAGUGCAAAUAAAUAACUUUUUUUUGAUUUUGUCUGUUAAAUGUUUACUUCUACCUAUUUAUUUUAUAUUUGUAUAUAUUUAUAUACGUGAGAAUAAUAUAUAUUAUUAAAAAAAAGAAAACAUAGUUUACAACGAACGUCACAUCAUUGAUGUGGCUGCAUCAGUGCAUACAAUUCCAACCGAUUCUUGGAUGCCAUUUAGUUUCUGUUUGUUAUUCAUGGAAAUAUAAUUGAUUCGUAAAAAGUAAAAUUGUAUGCUUAAGAAAUUAACAGGUGAAUAAAAUAUGAAGGAUUAUUUACAAAGUUAUUAAAUCAUUCCUUGUUUUUGUUUUACUCAGAUAAACUUUUGUUAUAGUCAUGGACAAUUUAAGAAAACUUUAUAUUUCUUUAAUAAAGCAGCAUUAUUGAAGAGCAACGACAUACAACACGGUUUGUCCAUUUUAUUUUUUUUAUGAAGUCAGGUUAAAAAAAUAUCAAUACGAUCCCAACUAAAUGAAAAUUUAAAAACAAUAUAAAAAGAACA